rnacentral:rRNA from 1 species
AUUGAACGCUGGCGGCAGGCCUAACACAUGCAAGUCGAGCGGCAGCGGGUCCUUCGGGAUGCCGGCGAGCGGCGGACGGGUGAGUAAUGCCUAGGAAUCUGCCUGGUAGUGGGGGAUAACGUUCGGAAACGGACGCUAAUACCGCAUACGUCCUACGGGAGAAAGUGGGGGAUCUUCGGACCUCACGCUAUCAGAUGAGCCUAGGUCGGAUUAGCUAGUUGGUGGGGUAACAGCUCACCAAGGCGACGAUCCGUAACUGGUCUGAGAGGAUGAUCAGUCACACUGGAACUGAGACACGGUCCAGACUCCUACGGGAGGCAGCAGUGGGGAAUAUUGGACAAUGGGCGAAAGCCUGAUCCAGCCAUGCCGCGUGUGUGAAGAAGGUCUUCGGAUUGUAAAGCACUUUAAGUUGGGAGGAAGGGCAGCUAGUUAAUACCUGGUUGUUUUGACGUUACCAACAGAAUAAGCACCGGCUAACUUCGUGCCAGCAGCCGCGGUAACAC